UACGUAGGGAGCAAGCGUUGUCCGGAUUCACUGGGGGUAAAGGGUGCGCAGGCGGAUUUGUAAGUCAGAGGUGAAAUCUCACGGCUUAACCGUGAAACUGCCUUUGAUACUGCAGAUCUUGAGUUUGGGAGAGGUUGAUGGAAUUCCAGGUGUAGCGGUGAAAUGCGUAGAUAUCUGGAAGAACACCAGUGGCGAAGGCGGUCAACUGGCCCAUAACUGACGCUCAGGCACGAAAGCGUGGGGAGCGAACAGG
rnacentral:rRNA from 1 species